CAUGCAGUCGACGCGAAGGGGCUUCGGUCCUGAGUAGAGUGGCGAACGGGUGAGUAACGCGUGGGUGAUCUACCUUCAAGUGGGGGAUAACGUUCCGAAAGGAGCGCUAAUACCGCAUGACGUUCCGGGUUUGAAGACCUGGAAACCAAAGCCGGGGACCGCAAGGCCUGGCGCUGGAAGAGGAGCCCGCGUCCGAUUAGCUAGUUGGCGGGGUAACGGCCCACCAAGGCGACGAUCGGUAGCCGGCCUGAGAGGGCGGACGGCCACACUGGAACUGAGACACGGUCCAGACUCCUACGGGAGGCAGCAGUGGGGAAUUGUUCACAAUGGGCGCAAGCCUGAUGACGCAACGCCGCGUGGGGGAUGAAGGUCUUCGGAUUGUAAACCCCUGUCGAAUGGGACGAAUGGCCUCGGAGCUAAUCAUCUGAGGAAUGACGGUACCGUUAAAGGAAGCCACGGCUAACUCUGUGCCAGCAGCCGCGGUAAUACAGAGGUGGCAAGCGUUGUUCGGAAUUACUGGGCGUAAAGGGCGCGUAGGCGGCCUUCUAAGUCAGACGUGAAAUCCCCCGGCUUAACCUGGGAACUGCGUCUGAUACUGGGAGGCUCGAGUAUGGGAGAGGGAUGUAGAAUUCCAGGUGUAGCGGUGAAAUGCGUAGAUAUCUGGGAGGAAUACCGGUGGCGAACGCGGCAUCCUGGACCAUUACUGACGCUGAUGCGCGAAAGCUAGGGGA
rnacentral:rRNA from 1 species